rnacentral:lncRNA from 1 species
AUGGAUGCACAUAAUUAGUUGUCAUUUGGGAGUUACAAAAAUGAGUGACAUCAAUGUAAAAACAGCCACUUUUAAUAAGUUUUAAGGGGAAUUAAAGGGAAAAACGUGGGGAAGCUCAAAAGACAUCCAUUUAGGUUUCUUUGUCUUGUUUUGGCUAUAAAUAUCAAAGCCAAAUCCAUUUGUAAAGAUAGAAUUUUGAAUGAUAAUCUUUGUUUGCUCUUUGUGAGUGUUUUUGCUUAAGUUCUUGCAUGAAUUUUGAACUUAUCAAACUAUUUUUAGUUUGUGGCGUUCUCUAACCAAAAUCUUGUGUUUGAU